rnacentral:rRNA from 1 species
CUAGCGGCGGACGGGUGAGUAAUGCUUAGGAAUCUGCCUAUUAGUGGGGGACAACAUCUCGAAAGGGAUGCUAAUACCGCAUACGUCCUACGGGAGAAAGCAGGGGAUCUUCGGACCUUGCGCUAAUAGAUGAGCCUAAGUCGGAUUAGCUAGUUGGUGGGGUAAAGGCCUACCAAGGCGACGAUCUGUAGCGGGUCUGAGAGGAUGAUCCGCCACACUGGGACUGAGACACGGCCCAGACUCCUACGGGAGGCAGCAGUGGGGAAUAUUGGACAAUGGGCGCAAGCCUGAUCCAGCCAUGCCGCGUGUGUGAAGAAGGCCUUAUGGUUGUAAAGCACUUUAAGCGAGGAGGAGGCUACUUUAGAUAAUACCUAGAGAUAGUGGACGUUACUCGCAGAAUAAGCACCGGCUAACUCUGUGCCAGCAGCCGCGGUAAUACAGAGGGUGCAAGCGUUAAUCGGAUUUACUGGGCGUAAAGCGCGCGUAGGCGGCUAAUUAAGUCAAAUGUGAAAUCCCCGAGCUUAACUUGGGAAUUGCAUUCGAUACUGGUUAGCUAGAGUGUGGGAGAGGAUGGUAGAAUUCCAGGUGUAGCGGUGAAAUGCGUAGAGAUCUGGAGGAAUACCGAUGGCGAAGGCAGCCAUCUGGCCUAACACUGACGCUGAGGUGCGAAAGCAUGGGGAGCAAACAGGAUUAGAUACCCUGGUAGUCCAUGCCGUAAACGAUGUCUACUAGCCGUUGGGGCCUUUGAGGCUUUAGUGGCGCAGCUAACGCGAUAAGUAGACCGCCUGGGGAGUACGGUCGCAAGACUAAAACUCAAAUGAAUUGACGGGGGCCCGCACA